GCGAACUUAUAAUUACGUAUCAUGGAUGCCUUCCAAGCAUUCGACGGGGGUUCGAUUCCCCCCGAACGCA
rnacentral:tRNA from 1 species